GGAUAACAGUUAGAAAUGACUGCUAAUACCGCAUAAGCGCACAAAACCGCAUGGUUUGGUGUGAAAAACUGAGGUGGUAUGAGAUGGACCCGCGUCUGAUUAGCUAGUUGGAGAGGUAACGGCUCACCAAGGCAACGAUCAGUAGCCGACCUGAGAGGGUGACCGGCCACAUUGGGACUGAGACACGGCCCAAACUCCUACGGGAGGCAGCAGUGGGGAAUAUUGCACAAUGGGGGAAACCCUGAUGCAGCAACGCCGCGUGAGUGAAGAAGUAUUUCGGUAUGUAAAGCUCUAUCAGCAGGGAAGAAGAGAGACGGUACCUGACUAAGAAGCCCCGGCUAACUACGUGCCAGCAGCCGCGGUAAUACGUAGGGGGCAAGCGUUAUCCGGAUUUACUGGGUGUAAAGGGAGCGUAGACGGCUUGAUAAGUCUGAAGUGAAAGGCCAAGGCUUAACCAUGGAACUGCUUUGGAAACUAUGAGGCUAGAGUGCUGGAGAGGUAAGCGGAAUUCCUAGUGUAGCGGUGAAAUGCGUAGAUAUUAGGAGGAACACCAGUGGCGAAGGCGGCUUACUGGACAGAAACUGACGUUGAGGCUCGAAAGCGUGGGGAGCAAACAGGAUUAGAUACCCUGGUAGUCCACGCGGUAAACGAUGAAUGCUAGGUGUUGGUGGGCAAAGCCCAUUCGGU
rnacentral:rRNA from 1 species